UAAACCCACAGAAGAAGAAUGAAGACGACGCGCAAAACUUUUGUUUGUAUAUAUAGACUUCAGACAGAAAUUCGUGCUGCAAACCGUUUGCGCGAUGCAAAGCCGCAAAAGAAAAAAAUGAAGAGAUGUGUAUGUGGAGAGGUGGAUCAACACCACACGAGGACAGCAGGGAUUUAAGAGUUGGAGAAUAGGACAGGCUUCGCAAAGCAUGACUUGGAGAGCGUUUGUCUUUGACCCUGAGAUUCUAUGCAACAGGUGACACGUUCAAGUCCCUCAGGUUCAAGUCCAGGAUGGGGGACCAGCACCAUCCCACAAAUAGUUUUGGAUAGCUGUUCUGUACCAGGUUAUAAAGGACGAUUUCUUGAAGACACCAUCAACGGAAGGAGAGUGGCAUAGCCGUGGACUUCGAAAGGAAGUGGCAGUUUCCACAUUGCUUUGGGGUACUUGCUACCACUCCAGCUGUAGCAGACUGCUGACCAAAACAUGGUUGAUGGGCAAUGGAAGAAUCGUGGGACGGGUGCUUUUCAACCGAUGAACACCACCUCACAUCGCAAUUGUAUGGCAACAGCAAAAGUGCAACGCAAUCUGAUGCGGGACUACUUUGUCUCACCAGCGUGUAGUGUUUAUUAGCAAGUUCAACACAU